GAGAGAGGCCCGACGGCACUAAAGACUGCUAAUCUCUUAUCCCCGUGGUUAAACCCCACGGCUCCCUCG
ensembl:Mt_tRNA